rnacentral:rRNA from 1 species
GACGAACGCUGGCGGCGUGCCUAAUACAUGCAAGUUGAGCGAUGAAGAUUGGUGCUUGCACCAAUUUGAAGAGCAGCGAACGGGUGAGUAACGCGUGGGGAAUCUGCCUUUGAGCGGGGGACAACAUUUGGAAACGAAUGCUAAUACCGCAUAAUAACUUUAAACAUAAGUUUUAAGUUUGAAAGAUGCAAUUGCAUCACUCAAAGAUGAUCCCGCGUUGUAUUAGCUAGUUGGUGAGGUAAAGGCUCACCAAGGCGAUGAUACAUAGCCGACCUGAGAGGGUGAUCGGCCACAUUGGGACUGAGACACGGCCCAAACUCCUACGGGAGGCAGCAGUAGGGAAUCUUCGGCAAUAGACGAAAGUCUGACCGAGCAACGCCGCGGGAGUGAAGAAGGGUUUCGGAUCGUAAAACUCUGUUGGUAGAGAAGAACGUUGGUGAGAGUGGAAAGCUCAUAAAGUGACGGUAACUACACAGAAAGGGACGGCUAACUACGUG